rnacentral:rRNA from 1 species
UACGAAGGGUGCAAGCGUUAAUCGGAAUUACUGGGCGUAAAGCGUGCGUAGGCGGUUUGUUAAGUCUGCUGUGAAAUCCCCGGGCUCAACCUGGGAAUGGCAGUGGAUACUGGCAAGCUAGAGUGUGUCAGAGGAUGGUGGAAUUCCCGGUGUAGCGGUGAAAUGCGUAGAGAUCGGGAGGAACAUCAGUGGCGAAGGCGGCCAUCUGGGACAACACUGACGCUGAGGCACGAAAGCGUGGGGAGCGAACAGG